rnacentral:rRNA from 1 species
AGGCUGUCUCCACCCGAGACUCAGUGAAAUUGAACUCGCUGUGAAGAUGCAGUGUACCCGCGGCAAGACGGAAAGACCCCGUGAACCUUUACUAUAGCUUGACACUGAACAUUGAGCCUUGAUGUGUAGGAUAGGUGGGAGGCUUAGAAGUGUGGACGCCAGUCUGCAUGGAGCCGACCUUGAAAUACCACCCUUUAAUGUUUGAUGUUCUAACGUUGACCCGUAAUCCGGGUUGCGGACAGUGUCUGGUGGGUAGUUUGACUGGGGCGGUCUCCUCCUAAAGAGUAACGGAGGAGCACGAAGGUUGGCUAAUCCUGGUCGGACAUCAGGAGGUUAGUGCAAUGGCAUAAGCCAGCUUGACUGCGAGCGUGACGGCGCGAGCAGGUGCGAAAGCAGGUCAUAGUGAUCCGGUGGUUCUGAAUGGAAGGGCCAUCGCUCAACGGAUAAAAGGUACUCCGGGGAUAACAGGCUGAUACCGCCCAAGAGUUCAUAUCGACGGCGGUGUUUGGCACCUCGAUGUCGGCUCAUCACAUCCUGGGGCUGAAGUAGGUCCCAAGGGUAUGGCUGUUCGCCAUUUAAAGUGGUACGCGAGCUGGGUUUAGAACGUCGUGAGACAGUUCGGUCCCUAUCUGCCGUGGGCGCUGGAGAACUGAGGGGGGCUGCUCCUAGUACGAGAGGACCGGAGUGGACGCAUCACUGGUGUUCGGGUUGUCAUGCCAAUGGCACUGCCCGGUAGCUAAAUGCGGAAGAGAUAAGUGCUGAAAGCAUCUAAGCACGAAACUUGCCCCGAGAUGAGUUCUCCCUGACUCCUUGAGAGUCCUGAAGGAACGUUGAAGACGACGACGUUGAUAGGCCGGGUGUGUAAGCGCAGCGAUGCGUUGAGCUAACCGGUACUAAUGAACCGUGAGGCUUAACCUU